rnacentral:misc_RNA from 1 species
GAUGAAGAACGUAGCGAAAUGCGAUAAGUAAUGUGAAUUGCAGAACUCAGUGAAUCAUCGAGUCUUUGAAUGCACAUUGCGCCCCCUGGUAUUCCGGGGGGCAUGCCUGUCCGAGCGUCAUUGCUGCCCUCAAGCACGGCUUGUGUGUUGGGCCUCCGUCCUCCUCCCGGGGGACGGGCCCGAAAGGCAGCGGCGGCACCGCGUCCGGUCCUCGAGCGUAUGGGGCUUCGUCACCCGCUCUUGUAGGCCCGGCCGGCGCUUGCCGACACAUCAAUCUUUUUUCCAGGUUGACCUCGGAUCAGGUAGGGAUACCCGCUGAACUUAAGCAUAUCAAUAAGCGGAGGA